GUGGGUGGCACAUUGGCGCAGUGAUGGAGUUGCUGCCUUACAGCGGCAGCGAUCUGUGUUCGAUCCCACCUACGGGUGCUGUCUGUAUGGUUUCCUCUCACGCUCCAAAGAUGUACAGGCUUAUAGGUUAAUUGGCUUGGUAUGAACGUAAAUUGUCCCUAGUGUGUUAGGAUAGUGUUAAUGUGCAGUGAUUGCUGAUUGCUUGGUGGGCCGAAGGGCCUGUUUCCGUGCUUUAUCUCUAAAUGAAACUGGUGGGGAAAAAUGCGGCAAAGUGCCAAGUUCUUCAAAUAAGCCACACAAUAUAUGAAUGGAAGUGUUGCUUAUCAAAUGCAAAAGAUCAUAUCCAUUGUCCCAGCCGCAUCAGACAUGGGUAAGCUAAAGUAAGUAAUGCAGCUGAUAGGUCAUAGGUUAUGUAUUGAAACUCAAAAAAUUCACAAAUUUGAAAUCUGAUGCAUAUGCCACCUGUUUGCAUUCCCAAGAGUUUGGGGUUGUUUUCUUAUUAUUAUGCACAGUGGCAGGAGAAGGAAUUCCCAAACGUCUUUCUUCCACCUUUUCUCACACCUGUGUUUAUGUACCUGUCACCGUCUGGAUUUUUUAAUUUGUUGCAUCUGUUUAUUCAACAGCAUCUGCGUGGCUUUACUCACUCUAAUAUGUCAUUUCUUUCCAAGGAACAAUAUAAGAUACAAAGCAUGUGCAUGCGUACACACAAAAGUAAUAGAUGGACAGGAAAUUAAUUCCUGAAAACAACAUAAUUUUGUGUGUAUCUAUUGGCCUACAACCAAUCUGACUAUACACACCAAAUGUAGCCUCCUUUGGUUUUCAGUUAUUUCACCUUUUUUUGGCCUUUAAUCUUAUUUCUCCUGACACUUCUGGGUUAUCCAUUAUUCUCUCUCCCUCUUGGCAGUCCGACAAGAAAGAUCUUGAUAUAUACAAGAAGAAAUAUUAAAAGCUGCACAAUGGAAGCAGAUGAUGAAAAGCCACAGGGAUGUUAAAGACUAAAAUACAAUCUCACAUUAUAUUACAAAGCAAAGAUGAAAUUCAGCAAAUGGCAACAAGAUAAAAUUAAAGUUGUAUGACAAUAAUUGUAAGAGAAAUGCACGUCAGAUUUACAGGACAAAACACAAACAGAGAGCAUCAAACCUUGGCCACAACCUGUUUAUGCAGCCAUAUGAUCAUGGAAAUUCACACCACAUGAAGUGGCCAUUCAUCUCUUUGUGCCUAUGCCAACAAGCUUUUCAUGCCAACAACACUUCCUAGCUCAUGGUUUGCAUGCUCCUGGAUGAGACAAUUCCAGACCGUUAAGAGCUAAUUUAUAAGUGUGUUCAAAGUUCAUGCCGCAACAACUUUUGAAACAGCAAGUUCAAGAACUCCACUAUUUUUAAUUCUCCUCUAAUCCUUCUACCAUUGACCCCAUGUCUCCUCAUUAAUGAUCUUACUGCAAAAGACAAAAAUACCUUAUUGUACAUACUUCUGUUAUUCUCGCAAAAUUUUAUAUAGAUCUUUUAAUCUUUCCUCAACCUCCCAUACCCCAA